rnacentral:rRNA from 1 species
GAUGAACGCUGGCGGCGUGCCUAAUACAUGCAAGUCGAGCGAAUGGAUUAAGAGCUUGCUCUUAUGAAGUUAGCGGCGGACGGGUGAGUAACACGUGGGUAACCUGCCCAUAAGACUGGGAUAACUCCGGGAAACCGGGGCUAAUACCGGAUAACAUUUUGAACCGCAUGGUUCGAAAUUGAAAGGCGGCUUCGGCUGUCACUUAUGGAUGGACCCGCGUCGCAUUAGCUAGUUGGUGAGGUAACGGCUCACCAAGGCAACGAUGCGUAGCCGACCUGAGAGGGUGAGCGGCCACACUGGGACUGAGACACGGCCCAGACUCCUACGGGAGGCAGCAGUAGGGAAUCUUCCGCAAUGGACGAAAGUCUGACGGAGCAACGCCGCGUGAGUGAUGAAGGCUUUCGGGUCGUAAAACUCUGUUGUUAGGGAAGAACAAGUGCUAGUUGAAUAAGCUGGCACCUUGACGGUACCUAACCAGAAGGCCACGGCUAACUACAUGCCAGCCGCCGCCGUAA